rnacentral:snRNA from 1 species
CUUAACUUCCUUAAAGUUAAAUUGGAACGAUACAGAGAUUAGCAUGGCCCCUGCGCAAGGAUGACACGCAAAUUCGUGAAGCAUUUCAUAUUAAA